GGCAGAACUAUAUUUCUUUGGCCAGAAGACUUCCUUUAAACGUCUCCCUCUUUCACCUCCACUGGAGUGUAGUGGUAUAGCUACAGCUCACUGCAGCCUUGACUUCCUGGCCUCAAGCCUUCCUCUUACCUCAGCCUCUAGAGCAGGUAAGACUACAGGCUUAAAGACCCUCCAGACACCAUGACUUUCCUUUUAUCACUGAGGUCUUAACUUCAAUGCUACCUCAUCAGGCCCAUGCUCAUGAUCAUAUUUCGGUAAUUGGAACACAGCCAUUCCAAGGCUUUUAGCAGUUUCUUGUACAUUAAUCAUCUUGUUCCUGUCUAGACACUAGCUAUGAAUGUGAAGAAGCCAUUCUGGACAUUCCAGACCCAGCAGAUGCCACAUGGAACAGUACUGAGGUCCAAAACACAUGGUUUUCCACCAUAUCCUGACAAUUGAACUACCCUGGCUGAAGCCCAGACAUCAUGGCACAAAGACAAGCUGUCAUCACUGAACCCUGACAAAGUUCUUGACCCACAGAAUUGUAAGCCUAAUAAAAGUGGAUUUUUAAAAAAAU
rnacentral:lncRNA from 1 species